CUCCCUACGGGAGGCAGCAGUGAGGAAUAUUGGUCAAUGGCCGGAAGGCUGAACCAGCCAAGCCGCGUGAGGGAGGAAGGCGCAGAGCGUCGCAGACCUCUUUUGCCGGGGGACAAAAGGCCGGACUCGUCCGGUCCUGAGGGUACCCGGAGAAAAAGCAUCGGCUAACUCCGUGCCAGCAGCCGCGGUAAUACGGAGGAUGCGAGCGUUAUCCGGAUUCAUUGGGUUUAAAGGGUGCGUAGGCGGUCCGUUAAGUCAGCGGUAAAAUUGCGGGGCUCAACCCUGUCGAGCCGUUGAAACUGGCA
rnacentral:rRNA from 1 species